AAUUACAGACAGCAUUUUCGCUGGUAGAUGAUCACAAAUUAACUACAUUCCUUCAUUGUCUCACGUAGAAUUUCCACAAAUUUAUAUUGAAUCCUCAUGAUUAUGUUUCAGACAUUUUUGAGUGGCAGAUUUCUAAUUUAUAUUCUAAUAUUUUUCAGGUGAAGAAUAGUGCAUAUUCUCAAUUUUGGUGGGAUCAUUUUUCAUACGAUAAGAAGUGCUUAAAUAAAACUUCAGCUUUAAUAGAAGAAGAAAAGAUUCACCCAAUUGUUGAAAGAAUAUAUGACAUGGAUGACGCGCUUAGUGGAUUUCAACAACUUGCACAAUAUGAAAACGUUGGCAAAAAUGUUCUAAGGAUCUCCACCGCAAAACUAUCUUGAAAAAAGAAAAAAAUAUAUAUAUUAGUAAAAUAUUAUACAAACUUUGGAGCGAAAGGAACUGGAAAGGAGCCAGGAGUCACCCAAAGAAGGAAUAAUAGUAGGAGAGAAAUAUUAUACUAGAGAUUUGACUGCAUUUUUUCAUUUUCAAUAAGUAAUACAUUAUUUCCCCAAUAUCUAGUAAAGACUCUGAUGUUGGUGCUUGGCAUGUAAAGUAAAUUAUAUAGUAGAAAGUAAGCUGUAUUUUUAAAUUAUGAUAGCUGCAGACUGUAAAGACUGAAUGUAAUGUUUUUGUUAAUAAAAUUGUUCUGCAUGAAAUAAAAA